CCUCGGGGCUUCGGAGCUGAACUCGCUUUGGGUCCCCUGGGAUUGCGCCGGCCUCUCGGCCUCUGGGGCCGUCCCCCUCCCGACCUCCAAGUGACCCACUCUCAAGGCUACCUCGCGGGGCCCUCACCCGGAGCGCGUCUUCCCGCUCCUCGAACCCUGCCGAGCAGGGUCACGACCUCCCUCCGCCCCCGGGAUGCCGCCUGGCGCCUCCGAGCAGCCAGGCCAGUGCCCCGCGCCUGGCGGUGGAACCCGGGUCCGAGGGAGCGCGCACACGGGCGGCCGCGCUGAGAGGGGUCCCCUGACGCCGGCGCGGCCCAGGAAGGGCGCUGUGGCCCCUGGAAAGGCACCGUCCUCCUCCUUCCCGCCCCCUCUGCCCGGAGGCUUGGGGUUCUCGCGUGCCACAGCAGCUGCGCCCCCGCGCCCGGGCCAGCAAGGGGUGGACUCGGCCGGAAGAGCGCGAUCUGGGCAGGAGUGAAGCUGCAAAGUCAAGAAGACUUGAAUGGCCUUGUGUCUUCAAAGAAGCGCCUUGAGCUCUGGAAUGCAACAGAAUGGGAGAAACCACUGAACAACAGGAAGUGUCAACAACGUGGCAGGAACGCCUGGGCAGGAAUAAUCAUCAUCAGUUUCUUGAUAAGUUUUCUUAGCCAAAUGUCCUCAUAAAUCUGACUACCACUUAUUGAAUAUCCAAAAGAAGCCUCCCAAUCAGGAACUGUCAAAGGAUUGGUCAACUUAUAAGAAGAGGAAGAGAAAGGAAGGCCAUGUAAGAACACAGCAAGGAGGCAGCUGUCUGCAAACUAGGAAGGGUGCUCUCCCUAGAGACCAAUCAGCCGGCAUCUUGAUCUUGGACUUCCCAGCCUUCAGAACUAUGUUUCCUGGAAACAUUUUCGCUCACCAUUUAUUCAUUUAAAUCAGUCAAUAGACAUUCACUGAGGCCCUCUUCAGGCCAAGAGAAGCACUGAAUGCGACUGGAUACACAGACAUAGCAGAUUGGAAUGGACCCUGUCUUCAAGAAGCUCCUGGUUCAGUUGAGGAUAGGAACGUGUAGAGACACAGCUACAGAAUGUUGCAGAGUGUGUAAGUGUCAUAAAAGAGGUCAAGACAGAGUCUUAUCCAUAGAAGGGAACAAUAUGAGGCUUCAUGUAGGGAUGGCAUUUGAGCUGGAAGACAACACAGCCUUUGAACUUGCAGAGAUGAUGGUGAAGUAUGUGGCGGCAGUGACAAGGAGGGUACAGAAAGAGAGCAGGAACAAAGAUAUAGCGGGGGAUCCUCAUA